GGCGAGCUCAGUACAAUUACCGCAGUGAUAAGAUGGUGGUCGUUAGUGAUGGUCGCGCGUGUGGUAGCUCAACCGCAUCUCCGGUUCAAACCGCCCAUUAUAAUCGGCUAAAUUCCUGUAAUCUUUCCUGGGAAACUACGGAAGAGAAAUCCAUCUAUGGUAAACCAAAUUUACAGCAAGUGUGUGAUAAUGUUCUGAAAUCAAAUGCAAAAUUGGUGCAGGUGAUGGAGAAAGACAUUGAAAUGGAUUGUGAAACAGCUGGGUGCCAUGCACAAGAACUGAAGACUGAAAGUGUAUUUGCUGCUGUGCAUGAAUUGAGACUUAAUUCUCCUUGUCAAGGAACUGACAAGAAUCAGAGAAUGUCACGUUCCAGAACACUUGCUAUCAGACGAUCUAAAGGUUCCCGAUCGAGUUCAGCAUCCUCUUCAGGCAGUUCCCGAUCUGGUUCGAUGUCAUCUUCGGGCAGCUCCCGGUCAAGUUCUGCAUGUUCUACAAGCAGCUCCCGGUCAAGUUCAAUGUCAUCGUCAGGUCGUUCCCGGUCAAUAUCAGUAUCAUCUUCGAGAAGCUCAAGUUCAGCAAGCUCCCGAUCAAGUUCAUCAUCCUCUUCCGAGAGGUAUGGUUCAAGUUCAGACAAUGCCUCUUUCUCUUCGAGAGGCAGAUACAUAUCACGCCAGAGGAGCUAUAGAAGAUCAAGGCAAAGCUGCUCAAGGUCCCGGUCUAGAAGCCGGUCACUGUCUUGUUACCGAAGAUCCAGAUGUCGAAUGUCUUACCGGUCACCACAAAGAUACAGGUCUAGAUCCAGAUGUUCUAGAUCAUAUCAAAGGCCAAGGUCCAGUUUGAGGUACAGAAGGUCCAGAUCAUGGUCUCGGUCCCCGUCCAGAUUUCGGAGAGGUUACUAUGGCUUUGCUUACAGGACGCAACCACGAUCCCGUCGAAGCAGAUCAAGGGACAGAUCUUUCCGCUUAACGCAAAAAGAUAAACAGAAGCUACUUGAAAUUGCAAAGGCAAAUGCUGAUAAAUUAUUGGGCAAGGGUAACAUCUGCUUGCCUUCUAACUUGAGGCCUGUCAACCCUCUCACUGAGACACUUUCUGAAAUGAAAAGUAACAGCGAUGCAGUAAAAGCAGUAACCAGAAAGAAGCCUUGAAAUGGACUGCACUUCUUGAAGAUAUGAGGUGGUAUCUUUGUAUCUGCGUGUGUGCAGUGUUUGGGGGCAGCUAGGCCAAUAUAAUAUAAAGGACAAUUGGCUUUCAAAUAUUCUAUAUAAAUGAAACUGGGGCAUUGUCACCGCAACAAAAUGUUAAGUGGGAAGGCUGUUUAGGGUUUUUGUGUAAUGUUAAUACAUUAGUUUUUAUGACAUUUCCUGGGACUAAGGGGUGAGCCAUUUGGCUCUGUUCCUGGGGAAUCCUACAAUUAGCUGACUGCCCACUAUUAAUAUGUGGAAGGAUAAACCAGUGUGCAUGAACUUUUACUGCUGCUGCUCCUGUUUUUUGUUUGUUGGGUCAAGGAGCUCCGUGAUCUGUCAAGCCAGAAGUAUGGUCAAAUGGGGCAACUAAGGAAAAUGUGAAUCAUUGUUUAGCAAUAUGGUCAAGAAUUUUUUAACGGAAAUAUAACGACAUAGAACAUAAAGCCCAGAAAUGGUGAUUCUCCCCUAAUAGACUGGUUGUUCACAUUUCAUGAGUCGUCUCUAGUUCUAUUUACUCCCCGUCUGCCAUUCAGCAUUCUUUUCCUUUUUUUUUCCAAGUAUUAAUCUAACUUACUUUUGGAAUCUGUUUGAGUUGACAACUUGUAAUAAAUUCCGCAUUCUCAUUCUUUCUAUUUCAUUGAAUACAUUCUUUCACAAGCAAAACCAUGCUCUUAACUGUCCAAUCCUAUCAUUGUUUUCAAAAUCUCUUGUAAAGUCAGUUUUCUUUUAAGAAAACCUUAAAUCUCCCAUCUUGUCAUUUUUGAAUACAUCUUUUAUUCUUCAAUUUGUGUCCCUUUAUUGCAUAGGAUCUAAGCAGUACAUCAUAUUAUCCCUCAUGUGGCAUCAUUUGGCUCCUAUAUAAGCUUAACAUAAUUUCAUUACUUUCAAUUGUGUACCUAUAGAAAUUGAUUUCGAUGGUUUAUUAGCAUUCGAAUUGCUUUACUGAUCUGGAGGGCUGCUUUUGAUUUGGUCACCUGUAUUUGUAGCUCUCUUUAGACCUCCUGCUAUUCAAUUUCUUAAUUUCCAAGGCGGUUUUAUUUUGCCACUUAAUUGUGCAAUUUACAAUUCUUCUGAUAUAUCUAUAUGGUAUUUAGCUUUUCCUCCGAUACCCUCCAGUUUGCAAUUAGCCAAAAUUUCAAUAGUUUCUCAAGUACAUUUCAUUUAUGAAUAAAAGUGGGCCCAUCCUUUGUGGAGGAUCACCUUUUUGUGUUGUAAUCUGAAUAAUAGUGUUCUCUUACUCUGUUUUCUAU